GACAGAGGGUGCAAACGUUGUUCGGAAUUACUGGGCGUAAAGCGUGUGUAGGCGGCUCUACAAGUCGGAUGUGAAAGCCCCGGGCUCAACCCGGGAAGUGCACUCGAUACUGCAGAGCUUGAGUAUCGGAGAGGUUGGUGGAAUUCUCGGUGUAGAGGUGAAAUUCGUAGAUAUCGAGAGAAACACCGGCGGCGAAGGCGGCCAACUGGACGAAUACUGACGCUGAGACACGAAAGCGUGGGGAGCAAACAGG
rnacentral:rRNA from 1 species